rnacentral:rRNA from 1 species
AUGUCUGUUUUUUGUCUGCCAAAGGGAGUAUGCAAAGAUAUCACAGAUGUGAUUGCACGGUUUUGGUGGGGAGAUAAGGAGGAGAAUAAAAAAUUACAUUGGUUUUCUUGGUGGAAGCUUUGUGCCCCGAAGUCUGAUGGUGGAAUAGGGUUCAAAGACCUUUAUUCUUUCAACUUAGCACUCCUUGCCAAACAAAGCUAGAGAUUAAUUAUAUAUCCAGAUUCUAUUUGUGACGGGAUCCUUAAGAAGAAGUAUUUCCCAAAUAUUGAUAUCCUCCAAGCCGGUCCAAAGAAGGUCUCUUCUUUUACAUGGCAAAGCAUUCUUGCGGGAAUUGCUACUUUCAAAUGUGGGUACAUUUGGCGCAUUGGAUCAGGGGAGAAAGUUAACAUAUGGAUUGAUCCAUGGGUCCCAUCUAGCCCGGAUAGGAGAAUUUUGACUCCAAGAGGUAAUAUUAUGCUUACAAUGGUGAAUGAUUUGAUAAACCCUGCUGAUGGCCAAUGGGACGAGGAGUUAAUUUGUAACAUCCCAAAAUUCUAA